rnacentral:rRNA from 1 species
AGAGUUUGAUCAUGGCUCAGGACGAACGCUGGCGGCAUGCCUAACACAUGCAAGUCGAGCGAGUUGAUCCCUUCGGGGUGAAGCUAGCGGCGGACGGGUGAGUAACACGUGGGCAACCUGCCUCAUAGAGGGGAAUAGCCUCCCGAAAGGGAGAUUAAUACCGCAUAAGAUUGUAGCUUCGCAUGAAGUAGCAAUUAAAGGAGCAAUCCGCUAUGAGAUGGGCCCGCGGCGCAUUAGCUAGUUGGUGAGGUAACGGCUCACCAAGGCGACGAUGCGUAGCCGACCUGAGAGGGUGAUCGGCCACAUUGGGACUGUUUCACGGCCCAGACUCCUACGGGAGGCAGCAGUGGGGAAUAUUGCACAAUGGGGGAAACCCUGAUGCAGCAAUGCUGCGUGAGUGAUGACGGCCUUCGGGUUGUUUUGCUCUGUCUUCAGGGACGAUAAUGACGGUACCUGAGGAGGAAGCCAUGGCUAACUACGUGCCAGCAGCCGCGGUAAUACGUAGGUGGCAAGCGUUGUCCGGAUUUACUGGGCGUAAAGGGAGCGUAGGCGGAUUUUUAAGUGAGAUGUGAGAUACCCAGGCUUAACUUGGGUGCUGCAUUUCAAACUGGAAGUCUAGAGUGCAGGAGAGGAGAAGGGGAUUCCUAGUGUAGCGGUGAAAUGCGUAGAGAUUAGGAAGAACACCAGUGGCGAAAGGCGCUUCUCUGGACUGUAACUGACGCUGAGGCUCGAAAGCGUGGGGAGCAAACAGGAUUAGAUACCCUGCUAGUCCACGCCGUAAACGAUGAAUACUAGGUGUAGGGGUUGUCAUGACCUCUGUGCCGCCGCUAACGCAUUAAGUAUUCCGCCUGGGGAGUACGGUCGCAAGAUUAAAACUCAAAGGAAUUGACGG